rnacentral:rRNA from 1 species
AGAGUUUGAUCAUGGCUCAGAUUGAACGCUGGCGGCAGGCCUAACACAUGCAAGUCGAGCGGUAGCACGGGAGAGCUUGCUCUCUGGGUGACGAGCGGCGGACGGGUGAGUAAUGUCUGGGAAACUGCCUGAUGGAGGGGGAUAACUACUGGAAACGGUAGCUAAUACCGCAUAACGUCUACGGACCAAAGUGGGGGACCUUCGGGCCUCACGCCAUCAGAUGUGCCCAGAUGGGAUUAGCUAGUAGGUGGGGUAAUGGCUCACCUAGGCGACGAUCCCUAGCUGGUCUGAGAGGAUGACCAGCCACACUGGAACUGAGACACGGUCCAGACUCCUACGGGAGGCAGCAGUGGGGAAUAUUGCACAAUGGGCGCAAGCCUGAUGCAGCCAUGCCGCGUGUGUGAAGAAGGCCUUCGGGUUGUAAAGCACUUUCAGCGAGGAGGAAGGGNCAUUGACGUUACUCGCAGAAGAAGCACCGGCUAACUCCGUGCCAGCAGCCGCGGUAAUACGGAGGGUGCAAGCGUUAAUCGGAAUUACUGGGCGUAAAGCGCACGCAGGCGGUUUGUUAAGUCAGAUGUGAAAUCCCCGCGCUUAACGUGGGAACUGCAUUUGAAACUGGCAAGCUAGAGUCUCGUAGAGGGGGGUAGAAUUCCAGGUGUAGCGGUGAAAUGCGUAGAGAUCUGGAGGAAUACCGGUGGCGAAGGCGGCCCCCUGGACGAAGACUGACGCUCAGGUGCGAAAGCGUGGGGAGCAAACAGGAUUAGAUACCCUGGUAGUCCACGCUGUAAACGAUGUCGAUUUGGAGGUUGUGCCCUUGAGGCGUGGCUUCCGGAGCUAACGCGUUAAAUCGACCGCCUGGGGAGUACGGCCGCAAGGUUAAAACUCAAAUGAAUUGACGGGGGCCCGCACAAGCGGUGGAGCAUGUGGUUUAAUUCGAUGCAACGCGAAGAACCUUACCUACUCUUGACAUCCAGAGAACUUUCCAGAGAUGGAUUGGUGCCUUCGGGAACUCUGAGACAGGUGCUGCAUGGCUGUCGUCAGCUCGUGUUGUGAAAUGUUGGGUUAAGUCCCGCAACGAGCGCAACCCUUAUCCUUUGUUGCCAGCGAUUCGGUCGGGAACUCAAAGGAGACUGCCGGUGAUAAACCGGAGGAAGGUGGGGAUGACGUCAAGUCAUCAUGGCCCUUACGAGUAGGGCUACACACGUGCUACAAUGGCGUAUACAAAGAGAAGCGAGCUCGCGAGAGUAAGCGGACCUCAUAAAGUACGUCGUAGUCCGGAUUGGAGUCUGCAACUCGACUCCAUGAAGUCGGAAUCGCUAGUAAUCGUAGAUCAGAAUGCUACGGUGAAUACGUUCCCGGGCCUUGUACACACCGCCCGUCACACCAUGGGAGUGGGUUGCAAAAGAAGUAGGUAGCUUAACCUUCGGGAGGGCGCUUACCACUUUGUGAUUCAUGACUGGGGUGAAGUCGUAACAAGGUAACCGUAGGGGAACCUGCGGUUGGAUCACCU